UGAUGUAAAUAAUUUGAAGUUUGACGUAUUAUGACAAAAGUCGUCGCUAGGGUCGUUACCUACAAAUUUAGUUGUUGCUUAUGUUUUGGCACACGCAAAGAAAACUGUUCAGAAUUCAAUUUCAAAAUCCUCAUUUUAAAAAUAAAUUAUAUC